rnacentral:rRNA from 1 species
AGCGAACGCUGGCGGCAGGCUUAACACAUGCAAGUCGAACGGGCGUAGCAAUACGUCAGUGGCAGACGGGUGAGUAACACGUGGGAACGUACCUCUUGGUUCGGAACAACACAGGGAAACUUGUGCUAAUACCGGAUAAGCCCUUACGGGGAAAGAUUUAUCGCCGAGAGAUCGGCCCGCGUCUGAUUAGCUAGUUGGUAGGGUAAUGGCAUACCAAGGCGACGAUCAGUAGCUGGUCUGAGAGGAUGAUCAGCCACAUUGGGACUGAGACACGGCCCAAACUCCUACGGGAGGCAGCAGUGGGGAAUAUUGGACAAUGGGGGCAACCCUGAUCCAGCCAUGCCGCGUGAGUGAUGAAGGCCCUAGGGUUGUAAAGCUCUUUUGUGCGGGAAGAUAAUGACGGUACCGCAAGAAUAAGCCCCGGCUAACUUCGUGCCAGCAGCCGCGGUAA